rnacentral:lncRNA from 1 species
UCUUCACUUGUCUUCCAACUCAGCUAUGAAAAUUUUACAGUGACAACACCCAUCACAUUAUUCUAAUGAUCUUACUAUCUCUGUGUGUCCAGCUCUCCUUGAAGAGAGAGCUGGGUUUUUGUUUUUGUUUUUUUUUCUAGAAAUCUCCAGCAUCCAGCACAGGGCCACCCAAAGUGUGUGCUCGUACAUAUUGAACAACGAACAGUACAAAUAAACAUGAGAUACGUGUCUGAGAGAAGACAGAAAAUUUGAAAGAGAUGAUGAGAAAAAUAGGCUUAAGGACAUUAAGGAAUUUGGAAAAGGUCACUUAUCUAGAAAAUUGAAGAAGGUGGGAAGUGGUUUUGUGUCAAGAUAUGAAGACUUAGUUCAAAAUGGAAAAAGAGUAAUGAUAAGGGUAGAGUUCCAGCUCCAGAAUACAGGAGAACACUAUUUGAAUUAGAAAGAACAAAGCAGAGACACCUGGGUGGCUCAGUGGUUGAAUAUCUGCCUUUGGGUCAGGGCGUGAUCCCCAGGCCCUGGGAUUGAGUUCUGCAUAAGGCUUCCGGCAGGGAGCUUGCUUCUUCCUCUGCCUGUGUCUUUGCCUCUCUCCAUGUCUCUCAUGAAUAAAUAAAAUAAAAAUCUUAAAAAAAAAAAAAAAAGAAGAAGAAAGAAAAAAGAAAAAAGAAAGAAAGAAAAAUAAACAAACAAACAAGCAUGGUCUGAGAUCACAGAAGUCUUGGAAGAUUGAAAGGCAUUCCCUGAAUCCUGUAAAAUGAGUUAAUUAUUAAUCCAAAUACUGACAUUCUUCACUAUCUAAGCAUUUCCUUUUAUGAUUGAAGACACUCUGUGAACAAGCGUGGAGGAGCAUAUGACAGGUGCCAAAAGACCAGAAAAGCACAAAUAGGCUAUGUUUUCACUAGAGAAGUCACCAUGAGGGUUGGGGAUUGAGGUUGUGGAAGAGGUUAGCACAGAUAAAUUCCAGAAGUUGUGAUGGGAUGACUCUGACAUCCAUCUUCAGUAUAAUUUUAUGCUUGAAUAUUGAACCAAUUAUUUUGGGGCUCUUAGUGAGGCAAGAUGGUUACUACUAGAAGCCAGUCCAUGUUCAAUAAGAAUUUCUCAUACCAAACUCACCUAAUGUAUUUUCCAGAGUAAAAAGACAAGUAGUAAAAUAAUUCUGUAUUUGAGAAAGGCAUGCAAGGAAAGGUCUGAUUUAAUGACUUGCUUAUUCAAGUUAACAUUUUACAAAUUCCAUUCAGUUUAAAA